CGAGCGGCGGACGGGUGAGUAAUGCCUAGGAAAUUGCCUUGAUGUGGGGGAUAACCAUUGGAAACGAUGGCUAAUACCGCAUAAUGCCUACGGGCCAAAGAGGGGGAUCUUCGGACCUCUCGCGUCAAGAUAUGCCUAGGUGGGAUUAGCUAGUUGGUGAGGUAAUGGCUCACCAAGGCGACGAUCCCUAGCUGGUCUGAGAGGAUGAUCAGCCACACUGGAACUGAGACACGGUCCAGACUCCUACGGGAGGCAGCAGUGGGGAAUAUUGCACAAUGGGCGAAAGCCUGAUGCAGCCAUGCCGCGUGUAUGAAGAAGGCCUUCGGGUUGUAAAGUACUUUCAGUUGUGAGGAAGGGGGUAACGUUAAUAGCGUUAUCUCUUGACGUUAGCAACAGAAGAAGCACCGGCUAACUCCGUGCCAGCAGCCGCGGUAAUACGGAGGGUGCGAGCGUUAAUCGGAAUUACUGGGCGUAAAGCGCAUGCAGGUGGUUCAUUAAGUCAGAUGUGAAAGCCCGGGGCUCAACCUCGGAACUGCAUUUGAAACUGGUGAACUAGAGUGCUGUAGAGGGGGGUAGAAUUUCAGGUGUAGCGGUGAAAUGCGUAGAGAUCU
rnacentral:rRNA from 1 species